CAGCAGAAUGAGCUAAGAUUCUGCAGCCCAGGGCCCUGACAGCACAGAGAUGCCUCUGUAGAGAUGAAACUUGGCUCCCUUCUGGUCCUCUGGCCACCUGUAGAGGCAGUGGAGCUCCUGAGGGACAGAGAUGUGUGUUGAAGCGCCUUGUAACAUUUGGCUCUCACCUAACAAGAUUCUCAGACGCCUCCAUCCGCCCUAUUUUGAUCUCCACAUCCGUCUUUGAUUCACUUACUGCAUUCUGCAGCCUGGAAGCCAAGUUUGGAGAGCGAAGAAGACUAAACUGGACUGGGGACCCCAAAAUGCAGUGCAAUGUCUUCUUAGUCUGGCGUUAGCCCUAAAAGCCAACAAAGAGCUCAAUCUACCUAACAGCUAACGGCAGCCACUUUCAGGUUUAUCCUUUGAGGCUCGAAAUGGCUCUUCUUCCAGCAGGCUGUAAGUAAAGAGGUGGACGGAGGCUAAGCCAAUGAAACAGUUGCUGGUGUUUGUUGAGUGGCCCACGGCCAGGUAGUGGGUUAAGAGCGGAA
rnacentral:lncRNA from 1 species